GUUCUUUUUGAUACCGGUGCCACACACUCAUUUAUUUCCCAAGAUUUCGUGAAUAAGAAUGGAUUAACAUGCACACCAUUGGAAAAAGCUUUAGGAGUUAACUCACCUGGAGGGAAGAUUACAGUAGAGGCAAUGCACAGAAAUCAACCAAUAAUAAUCCACAACACCAAAUUUUCAGCAGACCUGCAUGUUAUAGAGAUGUCAGGGUUAGAAAUAAUCCUUGGGAUGGAUUGGUUAGCUGCUAAUGGAGUGAAAGUAGAUUGUGAACUUAAAAGUGUAUCCAUAAGGAAGUCUGAUGGCUCUAGGCUGAUAUAUUUUGGAAGUAGAACCAGACCCAACAAUCCCUUAGUAAUGGCAGCAAGUGGACAAAAGAAAGAAAUAAAGGAUAUACCUGUAGUUUGUGAGUUUCCUGAUGUAUUUCCAGAUGAACUGCCGGUUAUGCCGCCUGAUAGGGAGUUAGAGUUCAGCAUUGUUUUAAUGCCUGGGGCAUCACCUAUCUCCAAAAGACCCUACAAAAUGUCACAGCCAGAGUUAGUGGAGCUAAAGAAACAAUUGGAUGAGCUGAAGGAAAAAGGAUUCAUUAGGGAAAGCAUGUCACCAUGGGGAGCACCAGUAUUAUUUGUAGAGAAAAAGGAUGGAGGGUUGAGGCUAUG
rnacentral:lncRNA from 1 species